ACGCUCGACACCUACUGGAGGCAGCAGUUGGGAAUAUUGGACAAUGGAGGGAACUCUGAUCCAGUGACGCCGCGUGAAGGAAGAAGGUCUUCGGAUUGUAAACUUAUUUUAUCAGGGAAGAAAGAAAUGACAGUACCUGAAGAAGAAGGACCGGCUAACUACGUGCCAGCAGCCGCGGUAAUCUGAGCGGGCUGGCAAGGC
rnacentral:rRNA from 1 species